rnacentral:rRNA from 1 species
CCCUACGGGAGGCAGCAGUGGGGAAUCUUGGACAAUGGGCGCAAGCCUGAUCCAGCCAUGCCGCGUGAGUGACGAAGGCCUUAGGGUUGUAAAGCUCUUUUGGCGGGGACGAUAAUGACGGUACCCGCAGAAUAAGCCCCGGCUAACUUCGUGCCAGCAGCCGCGGUAAUACGAAGGGGGCUAGCGUUGUUCGGAAUUACUGGGCGUAAAGCGCACGUAGGCGGAUUUGUAAGUCAGGGGUGAAAUCCCGGGGCUCAACCUCGGAACUGCCUUUGAUACUGCAAAUCUUGAGUCCGAUAGAGGUGAGUGGAAUUCCUAGUGUAGAGGUGAAAUUCGUAGAUAUUAGGAAGAACACCAGUGGCGAAGGCGGCUCACUGGAUCGGUACUGACGCUGAGGUGCGAAAGCGUGGGGAGCAAACAGGAUUAGAUACCCUUGUAGUCCU